rnacentral:tRNA from 1 species
GUUGCUAUAGUAAAAAUUAUUAUAUUUGCUUUCCAAGCAAAAGUUUUGGCGAAGGCUAAUAGCAAUA